CACACACUCAGCACACACAACACUCUCACUCUCCCUCUCGGCUCUCUCUCUCGCCUCUCUUACUCUCACUCGGCUGAGGGCGGCACCGCCUCCGGCGCGCCGCCUCGCCGGACGUCUCCCCUCUCCCUCUCACUCUCAUCGCUCUGUCUCGCCGGAAGUCAGCCGCACGCCGCCGCCUUCGCGUGCCACUGCCGCCUCCGCCGUGGCCAAGCACGGCGCCGCCUGGUCGUCCCCAGCCUUGGAACAGGGUGGCAGAGGCCUCUCCGCCGCUGCAUGUGCCUUCUCCGGCCGUUGUGAAAAGCCGAGCGUCGCCGCGCCGCUUCCCCCGUUCUCCGCCGUCUCCGCCAUGGCCGGAAUCGUGGUGGAUGGCCGAGCCUUGCCUCGCCGUGAAGAACCGCCGUUCGUGUCGCUGCGCCGCUGCUUCCGCCGCGUCGCCGGAAAAGAUAAGUCUCUCCCCCUUUUUCCCGUAUCUCUCUCUCUUUUUUUUAUUUUUACAGAAGCCCUAACCAUCUCUCUCUCUACCCUCUUCUCUCUCGUUUUGGCAGGACAAGGGCUAAAAGGCGGCGGCUGCCGCCGCGCCGCCUCCGGCCGCGAGAAGCCGCCGGCUGCUCUCACCCCCAUCUCUCCAUUCCCGGACAUACACAGAAGGCAAAGACACAAGAACCCCCAAAUUCAGUCCAGAUUCACAAGUAUAGCAAAGCUAGGGUUUUGUUUAGAAAUCUGUUCUUUCAUCAUUCAUUUAUCAUUUCCUUAGCAAAAAUCAAACCUUGUAAAUGUAAUAGCUUAGAAAAUAUAUUAACAUGUGUGCGUGCGUAUUCUUCUGUUCUUUGAUGCUUGAAUCGAAAUUAACAAGAUGAAGUAGGGAGAAAUUGGAGUAACCUCGAUAUGAGGGGUGGUGUUGGCAAUAGUUUGAUUCUGCAAUUUGUUGAUCACAAAGUAAGAAUGAAUUUUUUUGAAAUUGAAACUGGAGGAUUAAUGAAGAGUAAGACAUUUAAUUACCUACCUUCUUGAUUUGGAACUUGAAACAACUUGAUAAUUUCUUUGAAGGACCCGUGAGGAGUAGGAGGAAAGAAAAUGGUAAUUUAGAAGAUUAGAGAGAGAGGAUUUCUUAAUGAGGAAUCUGCAAGAUGUAGUGCUGAAUAUGUAAUGUAGUGGUGGAGAAAUAAAAAAAAUGAAGUGUGUGGAGAGUUAGGUGUAUUGGUGGGGAGCAAAGGGUGGUGGUUGAAGAGGUGGAAAGCAUGGCUUUAGCAAAGUUAAAGAAAAGGAGUUGAUAAUAUAAUUAGAUAGUGGAAGACACUAUCUUAAUCAUAAUCUUCCUCUUAAAGCCAGCAAAUUAGAUAGUGAGCUUAUAUGCAAAGAUUUCUU